CUUCUGACUACAUGUGACUGGGGGACGAGCCAGCUCCAGUUCGGUUCCCUAAGCUGGAAAGUGAGGGCCGCUGGCUGUUACAGCUCCCCCUGCCCCAGAGCCCCUGUUCUCAGAUUCUGUAAGGAUCUGCCUGUGUCACUCUAAGAACUCCGCCCGAAGACACACUGACAUCACUCUUCAGCUUUGCCUCUUGUUCCCUUCAGACUCUGCAGCUUGUUCCCCCAUCUAUUUGUCUGUUGCCAUCUAUAGUCUUGGCCUCCUCCCUCUAGGCCACACCCUCCACCCUGGUCCCUGCUGGGGAGAUUGAGAGCCCUUUGGGCAGGACUGGGUGGGGGUGCUGGUCUGCUGCAGGUAGGGGCACCAGCCCAUCCUCCCUCCAGCUUCACUUUCCAGCAGCUCACAGGAAAUUCACAGCCUUAGGAAGUCCACAAAGGGGAAGGGCUCCUGCGAUGCUGAAGGAAGGUGUUAAAAUGCAGGGAGU
rnacentral:lncRNA from 1 species